rnacentral:snRNA from 1 species
AUACCUUUCUCGGCCUUUUGGCUAAGAUCAAGUGUAGUAUCUGUUCUUAUCAGUUUAAUAUCUGAUACGUGGACCAAUGGUCCAGACGAUAUUAAAUUAAUUUUUAAGGGGGAGGGUUCGCUACAGUAGCUUGCUACUGGGAUCCUCGCGGGUCGCCUAAGCGUUGCACUACUGUUCGGGCAGGCGCACCCCAC